UGGGGGAUAUUGCACAAUGGGCGAAAGCCUGAUGCAGCGACGCCGCGUGGGGGAUGAAGGCUUUCGGGUUGUAAACCUCUUUCGCUAUCGAACAAGGCCCGCUUAGGGUGGGUUGAGGGUAGGUGGAGAAGAAGCGCCGGCUAACUACGUGCCAGCAGCCGCGGUAAUACGUAGGGCGCGAGCGUUGUCCGGAAUUAUUGGGCGUAAAGGGCGUGUAGGCGGCUUGUUGCGCCUGCUGUGAAAACGCGGGGCUUAACUUCGCGCGUGCAGUGGGUACGGGCAGGCUUGAGUGGGGUAGAGGUGACUGGAAUUCCAGGUGUAGCGGUGGAAUGCGCAGAUAUCUGGAGGAACACCGAUGGCGAAGGCAGGUCACUGGGCCGUUACUGACGCUGAGGAGCGAAAGCAUGGGUAGCGAACAGG
rnacentral:rRNA from 1 species